rnacentral:rRNA from 1 species
GAUGAACGCUGGCGGCGUGCCUAAUACAUGCAAGUCGAGCGAACAGACGAGGAGCUUGCUCCUCUGACGUUAGCGGCGGACGGGUGAGUAACACGUGGAUAACCUACCUAUAAGACUGGUAUAACUUCGGGACACCGGAUCUAAUACCGGAUAAUAUAUUGAACCGCAUGGUUCAAUAGUGAAAGACGGUUUUGCUGUCUCUUCUCGAUGGAUCCGCGCCGCAUUAGCUAGUUGGUAAGGUAACGGCUUACCAAGGCAACCAGGCGUAGACGACCGGAGAGGGUGAUCGGCCACACGGGAACUGAGACACGGUCCAGACUCCUACGGUAGGCAGCAGUAGGGAAUCUGCCGCAAUGGGCGAAAGCUUGACGGAGCAACGACGCGUGAGUGAUGAAGGUCUUCGGAGCGUAAAACUCUGUUAUUAGGGAAGAACAAAUGUGUAAGUAACUAUGCACGGCUUGACGGUACCUAAUCAGAAAGCCACGGCUAACUACGUG